UUGUAGGUUUGCAAGAAUACAAGGUAUCCACUGUGGAGACAGUCAGGGAGUUGAUUGAGAAAGGAAAUGCAACAAGGAGUACUGGAACCACUGGUGCAAAUGAGGAAUCCUCCCGUUCGCAUGCCAUACUUCAGCUCGCCAUCAAAAGAAAGGUUGAUGACAAUGAUUCAAAACCAGCUCGACUAGUUGGCAAGCUAUCUUUCAUUGAUCUUGCUGGAAGCGAACGUGGGGCUGAUACAACUGAUAAUGACAAACAAACUAGGUAGCAUUAGAUUAGAUAGAUCUGCUAUGUGUAUGAGUAAGAAUUGCAAGAAAUUGUCAACUUAUUUGAGGAUCACUGAAUCUUACCUUCUUUUGCAGAAUGGAAGGUGCUGAAAUUAACAAGAGCUUACUUGCUCUAAAAGAAUGCAUUAGAGCUCUUGACAAUGACCAGGGUCACAUUCCAUUCAGGGGGAGUAAACUGACUGAAGUUCUGAGAGAUUCAUUUGUUGGUGACUCCCGUACAGUGAUGAUAUCCUGCGUUUCACCAAAUUCAGGGUCAUGUGAACAUACUCUGAACACUCUAAGAUAUGCUGACAGGUAAAGCCAUCAUGUAAGAGAAGUUUCAUGAAGUUAAAAUGUACUUUGCUUUAGAAAGGUCUAAGGUUCAAUUGCAUAUCAGGGUUAAGAGUCUAUCUAAGGGGAACAGCUCAAAGAGGGAACCGCUGUCCACAUUAAAUCUUCGUAGUUCAACUCCAGUGCCUUUGUCCUCAAUCAGUCAAGUUGUGUCAGGCCCUGAGGAUAAUGUAUUUGGUGGGCUGCAGAACCAAGAGCUCAGCAAACUUGGAUGGCCUAAACAACAAGAAAGGGAAUCCUCACUAUCUUCCAACAUUGAGCGUGUUCCUAGUGGUCAAGCACAGAGCAAU
rnacentral:lncRNA from 1 species